AGUUGAUGCACAUCGCGGUUUUCUCCUCCCAGUGCCGCCGCAUCAGCUGUUCCCCUCUGGAGGUUCAUAUCUCCACACUUCAUGGGCCACGGUUUCCGAUGGCCCAUUUUU
rfam:Shinella sp. DD12 SHLA_18c, whole genome shotgun sequence.